rnacentral:lncRNA from 1 species
CAAAAAUGAAAUAUUUGUUUCGAAGAAGGAUUGUUUUUACAUCUGAAAUCAGAGUUGCCACUUGGCAUAAUCUGGUGUGCCAAGUCACCAUUGGAAAAUCCUUUGCAAAACCAUUUGACUCUUUAAACUGGUUUGCGAAUAGAGAUUCCAUCUAAGGAAUUCUGUUGACCGAGGGGAAGGUGUUAGGCACCCCUCGAUCCCAUGGUUCAGCCACGGUCACUUGGUGGAACAUAUCGGCUAAUUCGACACUAAGAGUGUAUAAACCACACAAAAACAUACAAACCAAUCAAUCAAUCAAACAAACAAACAAAUCCAAAAUUAUAGUGUUCAGUCCAAUUAUUACAAUCCAAAAAUAAAAAAAUGCAAAAAAUAUAAAUCCUAUUCUAAGCUAGUCCUAGACUAAGCUCCAAUGCUUCACCCGAUGCCUCGGGCCUUCGUAUCGAUCAUCUUCCACCAACAUAUUACGUCGGGACAUUUCCUGGUGAAUAAAUACAAAUACCUCGGGGCAUUCCCCGACCAAAUGAAUACACUUUUCAAAUGCGGCAAACAAGACAUUCAACAAAUAUUUCAAACAUUUCAAUAAUCCCCCCAUUCUAAAUUUCCCUACCCGGCGUAAUGUUUGUCUGCCCGCUCGACGACAUAUCACAUUCAACAUCAACCAUAAAUCAAAAUACCAUAAUAUUCCUUUUUUACUAAUUUUCGAUCCCCGUCCUGGUUCAUUCUCAACCAAUGAUUAACACAACAUCCAACACUUUUCAAAUUACUUUCAAAAUCCGAAACCAACAUCCAACACAUACACCCAACGAAGAUUCAAACUAAGGACACGAGUCAUCCACAACAACAAUCAAUAUUUUAGCUCAAAGUAUGCAAAACCACACCAUAAAAUCACAACAUUAACCAAAAUUUGAGAAAAUGAAAGAGUGAAGUUAAGAGAUGGACCUUCAAAGAAUCAAUUUCGUAGAUAAUAUAGAAUUAAAGGAACCCUAAUCCGAGACCCCAAAUAGGAAAACCUCAACAACUAUAAAAUACAAGUACGGUAUCGAAGAACUGAGACAUGAAAUGGAAUUCAACGAAUGGUUAUGAAAAACCGAAGCCUAAAUCCCCAAGCCAACAACGACUACCGAUGAACCUGAGACAGAAAUUGCAACAACACAAACCCAAAUUAAAUUGCAAAGCAAUGAGAAAACCGUACUAGAAUUCGCAUACCAAUCACAGUUUCAACCGUUUUCCAAUGAACUUCACCGGAAUCAGACUGAAAUGGAUCAAACUUGGUUGAUUUUGUCUAAUUAUGGGGUCAAGCCGAUGCUGUUUUGGUCAGAAAUCGGGGCUAGUGAUGUUUUCCGAUGGAUUUGACCAUAUUUGUAGUGGCUUUGGCGCGUUUUCGGUGAGAUUGUCCUCAAAACAGUAACCGCCACUCUCUUCUCCCUGAAUUUCAAUCGUGGAUCUCUCUAUCUCUCGUCGUUUCUCACUAUGUGGCUAUGUGUAUCGUGUGCGUGUAUGAGUGUUUCUUCUCUGGUGAGGUGUGUUAAUGGCCUUCUCGUGCAUGAAUAAUGGGUGUAUAUAUGCUAUGAGGUGUGCUAGAGAGUGUAAGUGGGGAUUACUUUUUGUGAGCCCUUUUUUUUCGAGGGAUCCCCUGAAGAAGAAGAAGCCUCAAAAAAUCUUUUCUCCCUUGGUCCCCCCUUUCUUUUCUAUUUUUGUUGUGUAUAUAUGGUAUAUGCAGAUAGUGAGUGGAAUUAUGAGAGUGGGUGGGGCAGUGGGUACACGUGGGUAGGGGUGAGGGGUAGGGUGUGGGGUGGUGAUGUGUUGUCCAAAAUUGAUAGGAGGAGUGGUUAAUUUUGUUACCAAAAGAAUAAUUGAGGAUUAAGUUUGUUAGUGGGUUUGUUAUUAUUUUUUUUUUGUAUUUUUGUGGGGUAUAAUUCACAUGGGUAAGGGUGUAUGAUAAAGUAAGGAAAAAAUGAUAUCGGGGAGGGACAAAAUUAGGGGUCUACUGUUAAAACAUAAAUGAAAUUACAAAAAUUCUAAUCUAUGCAACUUUCCUUGACUUGAAUUUCAUCACCCUAUUCUUCAGGUGGGCUCUUGACUUGCACUUUCUUCAACUUAUAGCUUGCCUUUCAAUCUCUUCACCCUGUUCUCCAGGUGGGUUCCUGACUUGCUAUUUCAUCAACUUCUUGCUAUGCUUUCCAAUUUCUACACCCUGUUCUCCAGGCGGAUUCCUGACUUGCUAUUUCAUCAACUUGUUUCUAUGCUUUCAAUUUUUUUCACCUUGUUCUGCGGGCGGGCUCCUGACUUGCUAUCUCAUCAACUUGUUUCUAUGCUUUUCAAUUUCUACACCUUGUUCUCUAGGCGGGUUCCUGACUUGCUAAUUUUCAAUCUGUUUAAAUUUCAAUUUCUUCACCUUGUUGCUUGGUUUUCCAUUUAUUUGCCCUGUGCUUUGGGCAUGCUCCUGAAAUCACAUCAAAAUUGAAACGAAAAUUAUGCCAAAUAAAGAAAUGCAUUUUCUAUGAGUUAAUUGGAAUGACUCGACUAAAAGGUACGUCUUUUAGGAAUCAAGGGGGAUAACUCGACUAAAAGGUACGUCUAAUAGGAAUCCGGGGGAUGACUCGACUAAAAGGUACGUCUUAUAGGAAUCAAAGGGAAUGACUCAACUAAAAGGUACGUCUUCUAGGAAUCAAGGGAAAUAACUCGACUAAAAGGUACGUCUUCUAGGGUUCAAAGGGGAUGACUCGACUAAAAGGUACGUCUUAUUGGAAUCAAAGGGAAUGACUCGACUAAAAGGUACGUCUUAUAGAAAUCAAUAGGAAUGACUCGACUAAAAGGUACGUCUUAUAGGAAUCAAAGGGGAUGACUCAACUAAAAGGUACGUCUUCUAGGAGUCAAGAUAAAUGACUUGACUAAAAGGUACGUCUUAUAGGAAUCAAAGGGGAUGACUCGAGUAAAAGGUACGUCUUAUAGGAAUCAAAGGGGAUGAAUCGACUAAAAGGUAUGUUUUAUAGGAAUCAAAGGGGAUGACUCGACUAAAAGGUACGUCUUAUAGGAAUCAAAGGGGAUGACUCGACUAAAAGAUACGUCUUAUAGGAAUCAUAGGGGAUGACUCGACUAAAAGGUACGUCUUAUAGGAAUCAAGACUUAAGUUAGGAAGUGCAUUACCUAAGAAGCAAAAUUUGAAUUACACAAUCAAGGAAGUGUGUUUUCUUAUCAAUGUUGUGUGAAUUAUCAAAUCAAGGGAGUGCGUCUCUUAGAGAUCUUGAAAUAUGAGUUUUACCAUGGUUUUGAUUACCAAACUUGUGCAGCAACCUUGCCUCUUGCAUUUGUUGAGGUGAGAAAUUAUGGCCUUUAAUGUUUAGGCUCUAAAUUCCUUGAUCUGAAUGCAACAUGUAUUCCUAUUAUAUACAAAGAAAACUUGUGAGUUUAAAAACAUGGUGGCUAGUUUGUGGCUUUGGAUUUUGAGGCAAUUGCUCCUGCCCCCAUCACAUUUAGCUUUGCUUCUAACCAUUAGCAUAUGCCAUUGACUUGUUGUAUCAUUGACUCAAACUUAGCUUAUAAAGAGUGACUCUGAAACAAACACAGUAUUUCUGCUUUGUCGUGUUUCUCAAAUAAACCCUUUGAAUCUUGGUAUUUCCAUGAGUUCCCCGACUUCUCUAUUGACAAAACUUCCUGCAUGCCUUUUUUGGGCUCAUAAUCAUGUCUCUUUUAUGUUCUAGCUUUUGUCUUGCUUUAUGCAAUUAAAGAAGUUGGUAGCCAAUUUUGAAAUCUUUUCUCACUUAUUUUGACACAGACUUGACUCAAACACAAGAAACAAAAAAAAAGAAUGACAAUUUUUGUUUAAUAACUGACUUAAGAAAGAUAAAAUUGAAAUAAAGAGAAGAAAGAAAAGACAAUGAAUGUCCCCUUUUAAAAAAAAGAAACGAAAAAUUCAUCUAAAAAUGACAGUCAACACUAAUGAUUAUGAUUGCAUUUAAGACCCCAUGCGGCUAGUGGCGCCUUGAAGGGUUUUCGCCAACAAGCUUCUUUUAUUUUCUCUCAGCUCACUAUUGCCUUAUGGUUCCCAUGAGGGUUUUCACUAAUAAGACUCUCUCAUUUUUAUUUCUCUCAACUUUCCAUUGCCUUAUGGUGCCCUAAGGGUUUUCACCAAUAAGACUCUCUCAUUUUUAUUUCUCUCUUAAUUCCCUAUGCUGAGGAAGUUAAAUAGUUUCCAAAUGCAUCAUCAUAUCCCUUGCAUGCUCUGCCUUAACAUCCUCAAAAAUUGAUCUGAAGGUCUUUCUUUGGUUGUAACUUGGCUUUUUAAUAAGGUUAGAAAUAAAGGAUAGCAUGGGGCCCAAACGAUACUUGAAGUGGGGUAGGACUUACAACUUUUGGAAUCGACUAAAACAAUGAGGAUUAAGUCAUGCCCCAGUUUCUUUUGACUGGGUGACUCUAAAUUGUUUAUUUGGUUGGACCGAGCCUUGAGUAGGGCAGCCUACGUAUCUCACCCUCGAGAGAGGAGAAUCAGGUCAUGCGUAGUUCUGGCAGCUUGUUUUUUUCACUUGAUUCUAUGGUUUUUUUUCUUUUGUUGACUCUUUUUAUCUUUGGGAAUUUUCUAACUUUAUUUUUCUUGAUGCUCUCCUUUUCCUCCUUUUGGAAACAUUUUUCUCUUUUUUUUUUUGAAACUUUUUUGACUCUACUGUUUUUCCUGACACCUUUUCUUUUGAGUUUUGUUGACUCUAUAUGAUUCCAAAAAAAGGGUAUGAAAUAAAAUAACACUAAGGCCCAAAUGGGGGACAAAGGAUGACACGAUGUUUGGAUAGUAGAAUGAAAGGCCUCCGUCAAAUCAAUCCUUACAAAUGCAAGUACAUAUCAUGCAAUAUGAAAAUGAAAGAUUAACAUCAUUUGUGGAACAUUAACAACACUAACUUCAACUGAGCAUGUAUGUCACUUCUUUUUCUACACUUGUCAAACAUACAACUCCAUUUUCGUUGUACAUUCCUCAUGCUGAAGGACUCAUGACUUCGUGGAGCUGAUUUUCUUUCUGUUCCUCUUGAUAUAGGAUCACACAGCCACUGUUUGACCUAAUCGAGACAUGUAUUUCAAUUUAUGACCAAGUUAGUCUUGCCUUGAUUUUGAAAGAAGACUUCAACUUGGUCACCAAAUGUCUCAACACUCUACCUAUUUUCUCAGAUGUUUUUUCUACUCAGAUGUUUUUUCUAACUUUAACCCUCUGUUCCAUGCUCAUGCUUCAACUGUAUUUUAAAAUCUGGCUGAAAAUUCCACAGGCAUGUCAUAUCACUAGAAUCAACAUAAAGUGACUGUAUAAAGAAAACAAACAAACAACACAUAUUUGAAACACAAAAGGAAAGGGACACUUCAUUUAGUUGAAAUAAAAGAUAAAAGGAUUUGAACAUAAACGACAAAGGGACAAAACAAAAUAGAUCCCGAACUACAACCCUGAAAUAAUUUGAAAAAUAGAAUAGAAAACAAAACAAACUACCAGACCUCUUCCUAGUAGGGAGAGGGGUGACUUUUCAAUUGCUCAGCCUGACAUAUUAGCCACUGGUUUUCAUAUCAACACGACUAGAGCUUCCACCACUGUCAGACAUAUUUCCUUCAAUAAAUAAGCUCUGUAUAUCCAUGCUUAACUCAUUGCCUCUCACAUAUUGUGCAGUACCGCGUGCUGGUGAAGAACUCUGUGGGAUGGUUGAAGGGCCAAUGUUUUGCACCACAAUUAAUUUAUCUUGAAUUAUCUUUUCUAUUUCUCUUUUCAAAGUGCGACAAUCUUCAGUACUAUGACCCUGAACAUCAGAAUGAUAUUAACAUCGCACAUUAGGAUAAAGCUUCUUGAAUGUGGUUCAGGAGUAUACCCAAGGAGAGGAGUAAUCAUGCCCUACUGUACCAAUCUCUGGAAUAAACUGGCAUAGGAUUCCCCAAUAGGAGUGAAAUUAUCUUUUUCCUUCCUCCUCUUUCCGAACUCUAGCCUCGGAUGAAAUUUAGAUUUAGAGGUCCCUUGGUAAAUUUAUGGGGGUCGAGGAUAAUGUUGAGGGACAGGUGAAUGCCAUUGUGGAUAAGAAGAUGGAUGAGCAUACAAUUGUGUAUUGUUCAUAGGAUAUCGAGGAAGUGGAAUGGGAUUUCUUGGAUUUUGGAGAAAGAAACCUUGUUGCAAGUGGUUAUGUGGAUCUGAUANNNNNNNNNNNNNNNNNNNNNNNNNNNNNNNNNNNNNNNNNNNNNNNNNNNNNNNNNNNNNNNNNNNNNNNNNNNNNNNNNNNNNNNNNNNNNNNNNNNNNNNNNNNNNNNNNNNNNNNNNNNNNNNNNNNNNNNNNNNNNNNNNNNNNNNNNNNNNNNNNNNNNNNNNNNNNNNNNNNNNNNNNNNNNNNNNNNNNNNNNNNNNNNNNNNNNNNNNNNNNNNNNNNNNNNNNNNNNNNNNNNNNNNNNNNNNNNNNNNNNNNNNNNNNNNNNNNNNNNNNNNNNNNNNNNNNNNNNNNNNNNNNNNNNNNNNNNNNNAAUUUUGAUGUCUCAAAGCUGGGAGGAAGGUUAACACUUGAAGACAUGCCCCAGGUUUUAUAUGAAACAUCUUCAUAGCCCAUAAGUCCAGGGGAAUUUUUCAUAUCAUUUUCUACACUCUUUACUUUCCCAACCACUCUCUCUGGCUCUUUUGGCAUGCUAGUCUUCUUAGUAAGAAAUUUUGGCGGUUCACUUAACUUAACUGUAGGCUCAAGAGUAUACCAAUGAUCAUCAACAGUAUUGAACGUGGAGUCACUAGUAGACUGGGGAAGCACAAUUAUUGGAUUGAUAGACAAAGUGGAAGCCUUAGUAGAAGGUUGAGCAACAAAAGCACAGACGGUAUGUUGUGCUGUGAAUGUGGUUGUGGUAGACUUAUACUGAGGAGAUAAAGAAAGAGUAGUGGAAGUGUUGACGUGCAUUUGAUGUGGAAUGGAUUCUGAGGCAUGCUGUGGUGCAUCAACAACAGUAGGAAACUGAUUUUGCAAUUUUGGUGGAAGACUCAAGGUAUUUGCAGGGUCAAAACUGGGGAACGGGGGUGGAGGCAGCCCACUGGCCCAAGCUCGAUACAUUCCCAUCAUUUGUUGUCUCAAUCUCAAAUUCUCUUCCUUUAAACUCUCAAUUUCCUGACUCUUUGUUUCAUCUAUGAUGACACUCUCUAUAUCCUUAUUGGACACAACUAACCCUUCCUUGGAUUUAGUGUGAUAUGGAGGACCAACCAGGAAACCACAAACCAACCACCUUAAACUAACUGAACAAGAGACAACAAAUAUGUUAGAGUUCAACAUUUUUCAAAAACCUUUUUUUUUCUUGAAAAAAUAUCACCGAACCCUAGAAGGGUGCCUACGUAUCUCACCCUCGAAAGGGGAGAAUCAGGUGUGCGUAGUUCGUGAAGUUAUGCCAAAAUGGCCAAUUGAACUCUUUUUCUUUUUUUUUCCUCGAAACUUUAAGAAGAAAAGAAAAUAACAAUUUGUCAAAAGAAUUGACGAAAAUGUUUUUGAAUUUUUCAGCUUUAACAUCCCUAUACAAAGUGAAAUCUAUGAUUACCAAAGAAAAUCUUUUUGGGUUUUCAGUUUUAAAUUUCAUAUGAAAAUGGAACUUGAACCUAUUAAAGAAAAAUCUUUUUGUAGUUUUCUUUUAAAGAUGUAUAUGAAACACCUACUCUAAAUGAAGAAUGAAGAAAAUCUUUUUUGAAUUUUUGAACUAAGAUCAAUCAAAAAUGAAACCUACGACUAUUGAGAAUUUUUUUUUCUUUGUAUUUUUCUUUUCAAUACAUGUAUGAAACACCUACUCUAAAUGAAGAGUGAAAAAAAAUCUUUUUUAAUUUUUUUUUAAAUAAGAUUCCGGAACCAACAAUAGGUUGCCUACGUAUCUCACAUCCCCAAAGAGGAGAAUCAGGGGUGCGUAGUUCAUCCAAUUUGGACAAUUAAGGAUUCACUGAUAGAUUGACCCUAACUUAAGAGACACGACCAAGGACAGAUGAAUAAAAUCUUUUUGAGGUUUUCAAUUUGAGACUUCACAUAAAACUGACACCAACAACUCCGAAAGAAAAAUCUUUUUGGCAUUUUUGUUAUAAGAAAUAUACAAAACUUCUACUAACUUUUUUUCAUUUUUCUUUUAUAAAAGCUCCUGUAAAAAAAAUCUUUUUUGGAAUUUUUGAAUUAUGAAUGCAUGGUAAAGGAGUAAAGGAAGAUCUUUUUGAAUUCUUUAAGAAAAUGAGUGCGAAAGGUAAAAAAUCUUUUUGAAUUGUGAAAAACAAAAGUCAUAAAGAACUCUAAAAAUAAACUACGAAACUCUUUUUUUUUAUUCACCCUUUUUUUUCAACACUUUCUUGUCUACGCACUUUACUUCUAACACAUGUUUUUCCCAAAUCGGUCCGUCAAAUGACCAUAUUACCCUCAGAGAUGCCACAUUUAGCACGUAGGGAUGCUUUAGAGGUGAGUUUCCUACAAAGGGCCGUGUGGGUUCCUCUAGGUCUCAAUAUGAUGCACAUAAGAAUGACCUAAAGGCUGACCUACGUUGUGGUUUACUAACAAGGCCGUUCGGGGAAGCAUAUGGUCGAUAGUGGCUACUUUUCUUUCCACCUACUCCAUACAUCCAACGGCUCCCCCCCAAAAUAAGGUGACUCAACUAGAGUUCGUGCGCACGAUGUGCCCUCUAAGACUUGUUGACUCGGGUUAUGCACAUGAUGUCAGAUAUAAAAGCGGUAACACAUAGGAUAAAUACUGUAAACAAAGAGCACGAAAACGCACAAAAGUGAAAGCACAAACAAAAAUCACAAGCAAUGCUUAUACACUCGUAAUGCCAAACAAAGCCAAUAUGACUUCGAAAAAAGCUCGGAUUCUGAAAUAGUUCCCCAGCAGAGUCACCAAAGCUUUCACAUUCCUUUUUCGUACUCUAAAAAAUUAUGGAUUAAGUUUCGAAAGGGUUUUUAUUAUUAAAGUGACAAAAGAUGAAAAUUAGUUUCGAAAAGGACUUUUUAUAUUCAAAACUCAGAGUCGCCACUUGGCAUAAUCUGGUGUGCCAAGUCAUCUUUGUAAAUCCUUUUCAAAAUGAUUUUUGACUAUUUUAAACUGAUCCGCGAAAAGAGAUUUCGGCUAAGGAAUUCUGUUGAUUGAGUGGAAGGUGUUAGGCACCCCUCGAUCCCGUGGUUCGACCACGGUCGCUUGGUGGAGUGUAUCGACUAAUUUGACAUUACAAAUAUAUAAACCACACAAAAACACAUACAACAAUCAAUCAAACACACAAAAUAAAACAAAUCCAAAAUUUAGUGUUCAGUCUAAUUAUACAGGCCCAAAUAAAUAAAAAUACAAAAAUAAAUCCUAUCUAACCGACACUAAUCCUAACUACGCUCUCGUGCUUUACCCGAUGCCUCGGACCUUGAUCACGAACCU